rnacentral:rRNA from 1 species
CCCUUAGAUGUUCUGGGCCGCACGCGUGCUACACUGAACGGUUCAAUGGGUGAGGUAGUGCGAAAGCAUGACCCAAUCUCAAAAUCCGUUCGUGCUGGGGAUAGAAGCUUGCAAUUCCCCUUCUUGAACGAGGAAUACCUUGUAAGCGCGAGUCAUCAUCUCGCGCUGAAUACGUCCCUGCCCUUUGUACACACCGCCCGUCGCUCCUACCGAUUGAGUGAUCCGGUGAGGCUUCGGGAGAGCUAAAUGGAUUGUGUUUCACAAACUAUUUGGCUUGAACUUAGUCAAACCUUACUACUUAGAGGAAGGAGAAGUCGUAACA